rnacentral:lncRNA from 1 species
GCGGUGCGAAGAUGGCGGCGGUGAUGGCGGCGCCGGAGCCUGCGGAGGCGCCCAGCUCCCUGCUGUUGCUGGUGGUGGGCGGCGAGUGCGGUUGCCCCGGGCUGCUGGCCUACGUCCUGGAGGAGUUGGAACGAGGUGUUCGCUCGUGGGAGGAUGUAGACCCCGAUGUUUGCAGCCUGGAUGAGCAGCUCAAGGCCUUUGUGUCCCGGCAUUCCGCCACCUUCUCCAGCAUAGUGAAAGGGCAGCGGAGCCUGCACCACCGUGGAGAGACCCUGGAGACACUGGUCCUGCUGAAUCCCUCAGACAAGUCCCUGUGUGAUGAGUCAUAAGACAGCUCUGGGACUUCCUGCUGCUCACCACAAG